UGGGGAAUAUUGCACAAUGGGCGCAAGCCUGAUGCAGCCAUGCCGCGUGUAUGAAGAAGGCCAUCGGGUUGUAAAGUACUUUCAGCGGGGAGGAAGGGAGUAAAGUUAAUACCUUUGCUCAUUGACGUUACCCGCAGAAGAAGCACCGGCUAACUCCGUGCCAGCAGCCGCGGUAAUACGGAGGGUGCAAGCGUUAAUCGGAAUUACUGGGCGUAAAGCGCACGCAGGCGGUUGAUUGAGUCAGAUGUGAAAUCCCCGGGCUUAACCCGGGAACUGCAUCUGAUACUGGCAAGCUUGAGUCUCGUAGAGGGGGGUAGAAUUCCAGGUGUAGCGGUGAAAUGCGUAGAGAUCUGGAGGAAUACCGGUGGCGAAGGCGGCCCCCUGGACGAAGACUGACGCUCAGGUGCGAAAGCGUGGGGAGCAAACAGG
rnacentral:rRNA from 1 species